AGGCGUGAAACUCGCCUACAUGAAGCUGGAGUUGCUAGUAAUCGCGAAUCAGCAUGUCGCGGUGAAUACGUUCCCGGGCCUUGUACACACCGCCCGUCACACCAUGAGAGUUGGCAAUACCCAACGUACGUGAUCUAACCCGCAAGGGAGGAAGCGCCCUAAGGUAGGGUCAGCGAUUGGGGUGAAGUCGUAACAAGGUAAC
rnacentral:rRNA from 1 species